rnacentral:rRNA from 1 species
GACGUAGGGACCAAGCGUUGUUCGGAUUUACUGGGCGUAAAGGGCGCGUAGGCGGCGUGGUAAGUCACUUGUGAAAUCUCUGAGCUUAACUCAGAACGGCCAAGUGAUACUGCUGUGCUAGAGUGCAGAAGGGGCAAUCGGAAUUCUUGGUGUAGCGGUGAAAUGCGUAGAUAUCAAGAGGAACACCUGAGGUGAAGACGGGUUGCUGGGCUGACACUGACGCUGAGGCGCGAAAGCCAGGGGAGCAAACGGG